GUAGGGUCCGAGCGUUAUCCGGAAUCAUUGGGGCGUAAAGAGCUCGUAGGCGGUUCAGCAAGUCGGCUGUGAAAGUUCGAGGCUCAACCUCGAAAUUGCAGUCGAUACUGCUGUGACUCGAGUCCCGGUAGAGGAGAAUGGAAUUCCCGGUGUAGCGGUGAAAUGCGCAGAUAUCGGGAGGAACACCAGUAGCGAAGGCGGUUCUCUGGGCCGGCACUGACGCUGAGGAGCGAGAGCGUGGGGAGCAAACAGGAUUAGAUACCCUGGUAGUCCACGCCGUAAACGUUGGAUGCUAGGUGUGGCGGUCUACCAACGACUGCUGUGCCGAAGCUAACGCAUUAAGCAUCCCGCCUGGGGAGUACGGCCGCAAGGCUA
rnacentral:rRNA from 1 species